GCUAUGGGCAGGGUACCAGCUACCAAGCCAGGCACCAGAUGUGUCUCCUGGAUCCAUCCAUUGCUGUGGGCUCCUCUGGCAUCAAAACAACAUCAGCUAUUUGGGCCUGAACUGCUUGUCACUUUGCUUCCUGUUUUCUCACGUUGCUGGAAGUCAACAGUCACACUGGGAUGUUUUGGUGCUUUCUUUUUUUUCCCCACCAGGAUGUAAAAUAAGAAGAAACAGAAACACACAUCCUGCUGAAGAGCCUCUGAGCUGUGUGUUUGCCUGGGAACCUGUGCCUGACCGCUGUAUAAUCAAGGGUUCAGGUCAAAUUAAGAUGCAAUUACAGCACUGGGACUUCUCAUAGGUUAAAAUGUCUCCCUAUAAAAUUCCUCCAGCCUUUUAGGUGUGUACACUCGUGUCUAAAUAAUGGUUUUGGACUUGCCCUGCCUGCUAGCACUGCUCCAGCGGUCCAUCACCGCAGGGACUGUUUGUCAGAGAGCCAGCAAGAAGAUAUUUAUUGAAACAAGAAAAUAACCGGGAUGUCUUUAACAGGGCUCAUAAGAAGAGGUCUCUUAUCAGCAGUAAAUUCAGCUGUUACUCAGCUCAGCCCUUGAAUUCCUUAUUAACUCUUAGUGAGUACCAAGGGGAGUUGUGUAGAACAGAAAGUGUGUUCCUAUUGAAAGGAGAAAGGUUGCCCUGGGGGAACAGGGUGAUACCAGCCAUGGAGGGAAGCGAUGCCACUUUUAGUGCAAGUUCCUGCAACAGAAAUAGAUCUUCCUGAGCAUGCACUUAUGUCUUUGUAAAUUAUAUCUCAGGUUAAACUACUCAUUAAAGUGCCACAGGGGAAUUUCAGGCUGGGUAGGUACAUCAUCACAGGAGAUAGACUAAAAAUUACAGUCAUUGGAAAAGAACGUGGAUUUGAGUCUCAGGGCCUGUGGUGAAAGUCAGUGCAUGCAUUGGGUUCAGCCUAAGUAUAUCUAUAGCACAACAUUUCUCCAAGGAACUACCGCAGAGCUCUUGCAGGGGGUUUUGUGCUGGCUCUGGGGUUCACUUAUGGAGGUAAACAGCUGUGAAAUGGGCUGUAACCACAGGACAGGGAAUAUUUCUUCCUGCACGUGGUAGUUAAGUCUUGUGGGGUAGCAGGGAGCAGAAGGCGUUGGGUCUUUGCCAUCUGUAAUGCUGCUCUCACUAUAGAAUCACAGCAUGGCGUGGGUUGGGAGAGACCUCAGUGAUCAUCCAGUUCCAACCCCAUUCCUUCAGACAAGGUUGUCAGCCACCUUAUCAAGCUGCCCAGGGCCCCAUCAAACCUGGCCUUGAACACCUCCAGGGAUGGGGUACCCAUGCUCCUCCAAAUUUACUCAAGAAAACGGGAUCCUUUGGCUCCUCUUUCCCUUAGGCCAUUUCUUCCCUCUCAUGGGAACAGAGUGCUGUAGGACACACACUAAAAUAACUCCCCAACAGUGAUACUUACCAGCCACAGCAGAAAAACCUUUAGACAACUAGAAAGGAAUUUGCCGCACUCGGGAAGAUUUUUCUCCCUCUCCCUAGACUUGCAUGUAACUUAAAAUAGCUAAUUAUUAAUGCCAAUGCCUCUUCAUUCUAUGAAUAAAUGAGAUACUGGCGCAGGGAAAGAAGGAGCUAUGAGAUCACCAGAUUGCCCAUUUGCCCAUCUCUGCUGCUCAGAAGCAUGCGGGGGCAUUUGCAAGCGUUCAUCAUUUAAAGGGAAGUCUUAAACCUUAAUUUAAUAAGCUCACAUUAUAACCAACAGGAUCAUGUGAGCAUAGCAGUGGAUAAUCUCAGAUGUUGCCCUCAUCCUUUCUGUUUUGCAGUCGUUGCACUGAAGCCACGUGCUGAGGACGCCCACCCACAGCAGCCACGUUAGCAGCAGUGAGGAGUUACCUCUCCUGACGGGCAGCGCUUGGGAAAAUCCUCAAAAUCUCAGCAUGUAGAAGAUCAGUGCUCUCUGGGUCCUUGACUUUAAUUUCCAGCAGAUAGCCUUUGCCAAACUUGUUCUUCAGGUACUGAAUGGAGCCAAUGAACCUGCAGCAGUCUAUGCUGGCUGCAAAGCUGACCAUGCAGCAAAGAGCCUCAAGAUGCCACACUCAGAUGUCCUCAUGACAAUACAGUUGUGAUUCUUCUGCUCAUACAAGAUUUGCUGCAUGUCAGUGAAUUUACCUUGUAGUCCUGCAGAUAGCCCAUUGCAAAAUGAGGAGGGAAACCUGGGAAUAGCAGCAGCAUGUAGAUAAGGUAGAAAGAGGCAAAGUAAUCCCAGUAUCGUGUAUUAUCUACCUGAAAACAGAAGAACAAAACAUUUGUAGAAAACAUCCACAGCCCAAUGGUAUGAUGCUACAGUUCAUUUCAGAGCAUUUCUUGCAGUGUAAAAGAACUGUUUCUCAGACAGUGAGACUUACAUAGUAAAAAGGAUGACUCCAGAUCUGGAUGUGUGCAGUGGAAUUGAAAGCUCUCAGCAGAGCAUUGCUGAUGAUGUUCACAAGCACUGGGAAGCAGUUGAUGGCCUCCAUGUGGCAAAAGAUGGUAAACCUGUAGCUCUUCAGAAAGAAACCAGGAUGAAAACUCUUGGCAGGGAGAAUUCAGGCCUAAAAUAAUGCAUGUCACUUGUGUCUUUUGUGAAAGCAGCACAAAGAAGAUGUGUAUAACUCUGCUACACAGGUAGAAUUACAGAAAGACUUGGGUUGGGAGGGACCUAAAAGAUCAUCCAAAUGGAGGAACAGAAUUAUAAGGUCUCUUCUAGCACAUAGGUUACUGGCUAAAACACUCACUAAUCUUUAUCCCUGUGGGCUUGAUCCAAUAAAGGUCCAGUGUAGCUGAAGGAGGAACCUUGCUUAAUUUGUGCAUUGUUAGGAAGCAAUGUUAGGAUGGCAGCAAAAGUCCUCACCUGGCCUUCACGAGAUACUUUAAUGGCCCCAUUGUAUUUCAGUUCCUCUGUGAUAUUUUCCUUGCUUGUAAUUUCCAGUGCAAGGUCUUGGCUCUCAAGAGCGUGGAUAAAGUCCUCAAUGCUUGAGCCUGAUGUGAAAGCCAAAAGCAGAGAAAUAAUAGUGAGCAACGAAAGAAUCAUUGACCGUUUCUUUUUUUGAAUCCAUGACCACUGUACAUAACCAUGACCCUGGAAGCCAGACAGCACGUAUGGAUUGGGUCACUGCAUAGUAAUUUAUGUGAAAUUAAUAGAUGACAGUUUCAGUGACUGAAACAUUGCUUUUUCAACCCCCCUUCACUGAGUUGCAAAUGCAUUCUCCUGAUGAUGGUCUGAUGAAGCCAACAGUAUCAUUCUCUGGCAAAGUAAUGUGAAAUAGCAUCCACUCAAAGAAACGUCAAAGGUAGAAUUCUGGAAGAAGACUGUUAAUCUGGUCGGGAUUAAUUUUGAAAGAGUAGAAACCAUUUGGGUGGAGGUUAGGAUGUGAGGUAGGGAAAGAACUGGAUCCCUACUCAUUCCUCCUACUGGGAUAUUCCUUUCCAUGUCACCGCAUUAGGAUGUCAUCUACUGAAACAUCAUCAGGCUUCAUUUACAGCCCAUUAAAUCAUGAGGAGCCCAGCUCACCCGUGCUGUUGAGCACCAGCAGGUUGGUGGUGUCAGCAUGAGCCCUGGUCCGCAGGGGCAGGAAGUACCGUGAUGAGCACAGCUCCCAGGCACUCAUACUCUGCCAGACAGCCAUCAAUGCCAGCUGCAAAAUCAGGGGGAGCAGGAAAACCACAUAGAGCAGCAAACUGUAUGGAGAGAGAGGUGAAUAAACACUUAGAAAAGAGAUAUUUUGCAGAUUGUGGUUAGGUAUUGGGAACAAUAGACUAUCUCAGCAUCUUCCUUCCGUUUCUUGUGUCCCAUCUGGAAAUGUCAGCAUGGCAGAGUGAAGACCGAUGAGGUCAAAUCAGUUCAGACCUUGACAACAUUGAAGAAGUAUUAAAAAAAUAAUGAUUUAAAUGGAACUCUGAAAGUAAUAUUUUCCUUCCUCUGACUGUACAUACUAGUUCAUUUUAAAACUUCCACGUCAGAAAUAAAAUUGUUCCCAAACAUUCAGAAAGUAAA